CACACGCCCUCCAUACAUCAGCGGCGGGGAGGGACUCUGGACAUUAAACAAUGUCUCAUUAGGUUUGUUUGGAAGAGACAGGACACCUAAUGAGACGCAGUGUAAUGACCAAAAACAUCUGAUCUCCACCCGCUCUAAACAAAACAUCCAGGUAGGGCCUGGGGUCAGGGCCAAAGUCAUGUCAAGCCUCCCUGACUAAAGGAAGCAGGAGAAUAGGGAGGGGGGGCACUGAGGGAAUCCAAGUUCAGGCAUGUAUGAAGGAGAAUGGCGAGUGACAAUAGAUCGUACUUAUGUGGAGAUGCCCUUUGUCUUCUGGAUGCUCAAGAAUGAAUCCCUUGUUUGAUGAACUUCUGUUGGAAGAAUAAGGAAAUGUUGCUGAGGACAAAAGCCCAUGACUCAGCAGGAUUACCUGAAAGAAAAGGGUCCCAGAACAUCAGAACAUGGCUACCCCCCAAUCCAACAGAAAGGGAGAUGAAUCUGGAAUAAUAAAGCAGGAAAAGUGUGACGGACCCCAGAUGAUACCAGACAGAGGUGGUCAUCCAUCACCCUUGUCAUGCGUCCCUGCACCCCCUCCAACUAUUCCACAGCCCACAUCACAGCAUGCAUAUUCACAGGAGCUGGUGUCCCGUCUGAGUGAGCUAAAAUUGCCCUACCCUGCGCUUCUCUUUCCUUACAGUCAAUAUUAAAAUGGGCUAAUAAAGAGGGGCAAGAUUCCCCGCGGUAAUGGCUCCCUGGAGACCCCCCGACUAAUUAAAGGGCUGCCCCUCCCAAUGAACAGUAAUCACUCACGGCUCAGGGUGGACAAAUACACAAGCUUUGUGUGGCCGAACAAACAUAUAGGAUAAGAGAAUGAAGAGAUAACACCCCCCCUCCCC